CAGUCGCCACGGUAAUACGAAGGGGGCUAGCGUUGCUCGGAAUGACUGGGCGUAAAGGGAGCGUAGGCGGGUCGUUUAGUCAGAGGUGAAAUCCCGGGGCUCAACCUCGGAACUGCCUUUGAUACUGGCGACCUUGAGGAUGGGAGAGGUAAGCGGAACUCCGAGUGUAGAGGUGAAAUUCGUAGAUAUUCGGAAGAACACCAGUGGCGAAGGCGGCUUACUGGCCCAUUACUGACGCUGAGGCUCGAAAGCGUGGGGAGCAAACAGGAUUAGAGACCCCAGUAGUCCCUGUCUCUUAUAC
rnacentral:rRNA from 1 species